AUGCUCGCCUUAGCACCACAUACACUAAAAAUCAAAACAAUGCAAAGAUUAGCAAGGCCCCUGUGCAAGGGUGACAAGCAGAUUUGUGAAGCACUCCAUAUUUUU
ensembl:snRNA U6 U6 spliceosomal RNA